GACGAACGCUGGCGGCGUGCUUAACACAUGCAAGUCGAACGGACAGGCCCUGCUUUUGUGGGGUGCUCGAGUGGCGAACGGGUGAGUAACACGUGAGUAACCUGCCCUUGACUUUGGGAUAACUUCAGGAAACUGGGGCUAAUACCGGAUAGGAGCUCCUGCUGCAUGGUGGGGGUUGGAAAGUUUCGGCGGUUGGGGAUGGACUCGCGGCUUAUCAGCUUGUUGGUGAGGUAGUGGCUGACCAAGGCUUUGACGGGUAGCCGGCCUGGGAGGGUGACCGGCCACAUUGGGACUGAGAUAGGGCCCAGACUCCUACGGGAGGCAGCAGUGGGGAACAUGGCACAAUGGGCGGAAGCCUGAUGCAGCAACGCCGCGUGCGGGAUGACGGCCUUCGGGUUGUAAACCGCUUUCGCCUGUGACGAAGCGUGAGUGACGGUAACGGGUAAAGAAGCACCGGCUAACUACGUG
rnacentral:rRNA from 1 species